rnacentral:rRNA from 1 species
UACGUAGGGGCCCAGCGUUGUCCGGAUUCAUUGGGCGUAAAGCGCGCGCAGGCGGCCCGGUGUGCCGCCCGUGAAAUCCCCCGGCUCAACCGGGGGGGGUCGGGCGGGACUGCCGGGCUGGAGGCGGGUAGGGGAGAGCGGAAUUCCCGGUGUAGUGGUGGAAUGCGUAGAUAUCGGGAGGAACACCUGUGGCGAAAGCGGCUCACUGGACCGCAACUGACGCUGAGGCGCGAAAGCUAGGGGAGCAAACAGG